GAUGAACGCUGGCGGCGUGCCUAAUGCAUGCAAGUCGAGCGAACAGACGAGGAGCUUGCUCCUCUGACGUCAGCGGCGGACGGGUGAGUAACACGUGGAUAACCUACCUAUAAGACUGGGAUAACUUCGGGAAACCGGAGCUAAUACCGGAUAAUAUAUUGAACCGCAUGGUUCAAUAGUGAAAGACGGUUUUGCUGUCACUUAUAGAUGGAUCCGCGCCGCAUUAGCUAGUUGGUAAGGUAACGGCUUACCAAGGCAACGAUGCGUAGCCGACCUGAGAGGGUGAUCGGCCACACUGGAACUGAGACACGGUCCAGACUCCUACGGGAGGCAGCAGUAGGGAAUCUUCCGCAAUGGGCGAAAGCCUGACGGAGCAACGCCGCGUGAGUGAUGAAGGUCUUCGGAUCGUAAAACUCUGUUAUUAGGGAAGAACAAAUGUGUAAGUAACUAUGCACGUCUUGACGGUACCUAAUCAGAAAGCCACGGCUAACUACGUG
rnacentral:rRNA from 1 species